rnacentral:lncRNA from 1 species
CAAAUCUUCCCCAUGCUUUUGACAUGUAUUGUUGAGCUGAGUUGUCGUGGCCCUUUCCUCACGCUAGAAGUACUUUUUACAGGACCUACCUGCCAGCUCUUCCCAGGUCUGGAUGGAACCUAGCGCGAGGGUGGUGUACCAAGUAUAAGCACGAUCAGUUAGACUUUUUGAGAACUCUCUGAGAUGGAGACUUGGUUGGAUUGGUGUGUGACAUUUUUGGACCCCAAGAGUUAUUAUUAUUUUUUGGUCAAAGGUAAACUUUAUUGGAUAAUACUUAGGUAUGAGUACUCUAUCUACUCACUUUAUGGUUUGGUCCAAUAAAAAAAAAGCCACAUGUUCCUUAUAUUUAAAGGCCAAAAAAAAUUAAUAUGUCCAUUAUUUUUUAAAACAAUAAUACAUGUGUUAAAAUAUCAUUGGACAAAAUCAAAACGUGAGUUCUCACUAGUGUGUAUCCAAGUAUUAUUAAACUUUAUUACCAACAACACACUUUACAUAGCAAAGGCCCAAUUACAAAUAAGCACAAAGAAAAAGUGGACCUUCCAAGAAAAAAACAAAGAGCCUAAACAAGAAUUAAGGCCCAAAACUAGAAACAAACCAAAGAAGAGCCUACAAUUAUGCUAGCACCACUUCUACAACAGUACAUCACGACUACCACAAACCACUGCCCGAACAAAUGCCAGAAACCAAACCAAACAAUUCCUCAGAGAUAGAAGGAAAGAAUACUCCAUUAUCCAACAAAGAGCACCUCGCUAAUCCUAGCUACCAAAGAGGCCAGUGGGAUUACCACAACACUACCAACAUAGGCAGACAAAGAAAAGGUGGUGGUAUGAACAUGGGAACUGUACAUACCUUCCAGAUGGACCGCUAUAACGACUAAUAUUGAUUGCAAUUUGAGAUGGGAUCAAUGAAGGACGGAGCCAAGUAGGAGAUAACGAAUUGGAUGAAAGGACAAAUCGAUUUGCGAAGGAUCAGAUGCACAUGAAGAUGGAUGGAUACCAAGGGUUAGAAGAAAGAGAAGAUCGGAUCUAAGAGCAUAGUCUGGUAAGAUGGAUGACCAUUGAGGUUGAAAGAUCAUGCAAAUUGGGAUGGAUAUGAGGGGAAAACAGCAACAGAUAGUGAGAAAUGGGAAAGCAAAAAGGAAAAUGAAGGGAUUACUACUGACCCUAGCCACAACCAGGACUCGUGGCUCUAAAAAUUAACGAAUGGGUGACAGCUCACACCACGGUGAGGAAACUCUCACAAAAAGAGUCUCUCACCAAAUGGGAGAAAAGUGUUGUGAAUUAGUUUGAAGGGUAUUUAUGAUGUUAUUUAGGCCAAGGCAUCGAUACAAAACAAGGACAGACAUACAACAAAGCCAAGAGUAUUUACAUUUGCUUCCACAUAAUUCCUUGUUUUAUUGCCUUUCUUUGUUUCCAUUUUGUCAUUUCCUUUUCUCCAACACAAACCAAAAUCCGAUUCUCAAAACUCACCUAACAAUCAUGAACCAAAAGGAAAAAGAAACAAGCGUUCCUCCUUUUAACCAUUCGAUUCCUAAAAACUUCCACACGGUAGAUGCAUGUUGUGUUCCUUUCAAGAGCAAAUAUAAGGAUAGUAUAAUGGCACAAGUAAGGGUGUCGAACUACAGGGACUAAUUAGACUUCUACAAUUACUCGCUUUUUUG